rnacentral:rRNA from 1 species
AGUGAACGCUGGCGGUAGGCCUAACACAUGCAAGUCGAACGGCAGCACAGUAAGAGCUUGCUCUUACGGGUGGCGAGUGGCGGACGGGUGAGGAAUACAUCGGAAUCUACUUUUUCGUGGGGGAUAACGUAGGGAAACUUACGCUAAUACCGCAUACGACCUACGGGUGAAAGCAGGGGAUCUUCGGACCUUGCGCGAUUGAAUGAGCCGAUGUCGGAUUAGCUAGUUGGCGGGGUAAAGGCCCACCAAGGCGACGAUCCGUAGCUGGUCUGAGAGGAUGAUCAGCCACACUGGAACUGAGACACGGUCCAGACUCCUACAGGAGGCAGCAGUGGGGAAUAUUGGACAAUGGGCGCAAGCCUGAUCCAGCCAUACCGCGGGGGUGAAGAAGGCCUUCGGGUUGUAAAGCCCUUUUGUUGGGAAAGAAAAGCAGCAGGUUAAUACCCCGCUGUUCUGACGGUACCCAAAGAAUAAGCACCGGCUAACCUCGUGC